AUUGAACGCUGGCGGCAGGCCUAACACAUGCAAGUCGAGCGGAUGAAGGGAGCUUGCUCCUGGAUUCAGCGGCGGACGGGUGAGUAAUGCCUAGGAAUCUGCCUGGUAGUGGGGGAUAACGUCCGGAAACGGGCGCUAAUACCGCAUACGUCCUGAGGGAGAAAGUGGGGGAUCUUCGGACCUCACGCUAUCAGAUGAGCCUAGGUCGGAUUAGCUAGUUGGUGGGGUAAAGGCCUACCAAGGCGACGAUCCGUAACUGGUCUGAGAGGAUGAUCAGUCACACUGGAACUGAGACACGGUCCAGACUCCUACGGGAGGCAGCAGUGGGGAAUAUUGGACAAUGGGCGAAGGCCUGAUCCAGCCAUGCCGCGUGUGUGAAGGAGGUCUUCGGAUUGUAAAGCACUUUAAGUUGGGAGGAAGGGCAGUAAGUUAAUACCUUGCUGUUUUGACGUUACCAACAGAAUAAGCACCGGCUAACUUCGUG
rnacentral:rRNA from 1 species